GAUGAACGCUGACAGAAUGCUUAACACAUGCAAGUCUUUGGCGAAGCUGUGCUUGCACAGCCUAGCCAAGGCGGACGGGUGAGUAACGCGUAAGGAACUUGCCCUGCAGUCAGGGAUAACAGACGGAAACGACUGAUAAGACCUGGUAAAGUCAGGCGGACUCAUGUCCAGCCUGAUGAAAAGAGAUGCUGCAGGAGAGCCUUGCGUCCUAUUAGCUUGUUGGUGGGGUAACGGCCCACCAAGGCGAUGAUAGGUAGCCGGCCUGAGAGGGUGGACGGCCACAAGGGGACUGGGAUACGGCCCUUACUCCUACGGGAGGCAGCAGUGGGGAAUAUUGGACAAUGGGGGCAAGCCUGAUCCAGCAAUUCUGUGUGCACGAUGAAGGUUUUCGGAUUGUAAAGUGCUUUCAGCAGGGAAGAAAAAAAUGACGGUACCUGCAGAAGAAGCGACGGCUAAAUACGUG
rnacentral:rRNA from 1 species